GUGAGCCGAUGCCAGGAGGAACAGGAAACUAUUCUGCUGCUCACUACAACGUUGCGCUCAAUUAUUCUGCUUUCUCCACCCGUGUAGCUCCCCGGCGCCCGAUGGCGAGGGUCCGGCUUUGCACCGCGGUGUCACUACGCUGGCCACAAGGGUUUAUCGAGAAAACACCUGCCACAAACAUCAGCCCCGGCCAAAACCUAGCGUGACUUGCAAAGCCCAGCCGGCCUUCCUCCUUUCUUCCCUGUUCCCAGCUGACAUGAGAGUGGCUGGGAAAGAGGACGGGCGCAGCGUGGCCAGCUGGGGUGGGAGAACCUGGAGCCUCCCGAAGGGACCCGCAUGGCCGAAGGAGAUCCCGACAAAAACCAGCAGCCGCUCCGGUGCUCACCCCCUGCCCAGCGCAGGGCAUACCUGGAUUCAGCCUCCGGGCCGGGCCGGAGGGCGUCCUGCGUGGCGGGGGAGUUGCUCAGGACUGCGCUCAGCGAACCUGCUGGUGCCAGAGAGAGCCCAACCAUGAAAUUGGAGUCCGGAUCCAGUUAAGUCUCUGACCCCCGUCCCUCAAAAUCCCCAAAACCACCUUUCCGGAGUGGACUCCUGCAAUUGCAAUAAACCCUGAUCCUGGCAACUCCUGGACAUUGCAACUACUGAGGUGUAAAAUUACUCCCUAAAGCGUGUGCAGGGUUGGGGUUCAGAGAUUGUAAAACUGCUUGCGGCAGGGAGGGACUAUCUCUUCCUAUGGGUUUGUACAGUGACUACUAGCACAAUGGGGCCUCUGUUGUGAUUGGGAUCUAUAAUAACAAUUAAUAGGUAUCAGUGUGAUGUAAAUAAUAAUUAGUAUAAUAAAAUCACUUGUCUUAAUAAAA